rnacentral:lncRNA from 1 species
UGCUUUGAUUUUGAAUACUAUUAGGGUUUGUUUGGUUCGCGCUAUCUUUUAAGAUUUCUAGUAAUUCAAUAAAAAUAAAAAAAUAUGCUGGUGUUUGGUUAAACGCACUAAGUAAUCUAGUUGUUAAUAUUAGAUUUACUUGGAAAUGAGAUUCAUCCCAAAAUACUAAUCUCAUUCCCUUGAGGGAGGGUGGGUAUUCUCAUGUUAAUAAAUUAGGGUAAUCAUAAUAUGUCUAAUCUCUUUCUUUCUUCCUAUCCGCUGGCUAGUUGGUAUUAUUUUUCUUUACACUCUAAUCCUAUAUCUCUCUCUAAACUUAUCUUUUUCUUUCUAAAGUUCAACUCUUUUUCUCUCUCUAAAUUAAGCUCUCUCUCCCCCUCUUUUUCUAAAUUCUCAACUCGCUCACUUCCUCUAACAUCGACUCUAUUUCUCUUCCUAUUUUUUUAAUUAUGCUCUCUCUCUCUCUAAUCUAUAUUCUCUCUCCCUUUUUUCUAAAAAAAUAUUAAUUUUUUUCAUAGCAUUAUCUAAAAUUAAUUAAAAAAAUAAAUAAAUUAAUCGUUUAUUUUUUAUAAUUUUAAAUAAUAUGACUAAAUAAUAUGACCGUGCGAAUCAAACACAGGAAUACCAUAUUCUUAAUAAUAGAAUGAAUAAGAAUAAGAUUGUCGUAUAUCUUUUUAUUCCUAAUAAUCUUUUAUAGUGCGAAACAAACGCACCCUUAUGAUCAUAAGCUACCGAAACUAACUAAGAUCACCAACUAAAUUAAAG